rnacentral:rRNA from 1 species
GAUGAACGCUGGCGGCGUGCCUAAUACAUGCAAGUCGAGCGAACGGACGAGAAUCUUGCUUCUCUGAUGUUAGCGGCGGACGGGUGAGUAACACGUGGAUAACCUACCUAUAAGACUGGGAUAACUUCGAGUAACCGGAACUAAUGCCGGAUGAUAUUUUGAACCGCAUGGUUCAAAAGUUUAAGACGGUCUUGCUGUCACUUAUAGAUGGAUCCGCGCUGCAUUAGCUAGUUGGUAAGGUAACGGCUUACCAAGGCAACGAUGCAUAGCCGACCUGAGAGGGUGAACGCCCACACAGGAGCUGAGCCACGGUCCUGACUCCGACGGGCGGCACCGGUACCGACUCUACCGAGCUGGGGGGAAGCCUGACGGAUCAACGCAGCGCGGGUGAUGCGGGUCUUCGUAUCGUAAGACUCUGUUAUUGUGGAAGAACAUAUGUGUAAGUAACUGUGCACAUCGUGACGGUACCUAGUCAGAAAGCCACGGCUAACUACGUG